AUUGAACGCUGGCGGCAUGCUUUACACAUGCAAGUCGAACGGCAGCACGGGCUUCGGCCUGGUGGCGAGUGGCGAACGGGUGAGUAAUACAUCGGAACGUACCCAGUAGUGGGGGAUAGCCCGGCGAAAGCCGGAUUAAUACCGCAUAUGCCCUGAGGGGGAAAGCGGGGGACCGAAAGGCCUCGCGCUAUUGGAGCGGCCGAUGGCUGAUUAGCUGGUUGGUGGGGUAAAGGCCUACCAAGGCGACGAUCAGUAGCUGGUCUGAGAGGACGACCAGCCACACUGGAACUGAGACACGGUCCAGACUCCUACGGGAGGCAGCAGUGGGGAAUUUUGGACAAUGGACGCAAGUCUGAUCCAGCCAUUCCGCGUGCAGGAUGAAGGCCCUCGGGUUGUAAACUGCUUUUGUACGGAACGAAAAGGUCUCUCUUAAUACGGGGGACUCAUGACGGUACCGUAAGAAUAAGCACCGGCUAACUUCGUGCCAGCAGCCGCGGUAA
rnacentral:rRNA from 1 species